rnacentral:rRNA from 1 species
GACGAACGCUGGCGGCGUGCUUAACACAUGCAAGUCGAACGAUGACGACCGAGCUUGCUCGGUCUGAUUAGUGGCGAACGGGUGAGUAACACGUGAGCAACCUGCCCUUCACUCUGGGAUAACCUCGGGAAAUCGGGGCUAAUACCGGAUAUGAGCUCCUGUCGCAUGGCGGGUGUUGGAAAGUUUUUCGGUGUAGGAUGGGCUCGCGGCCUAUCAGUUUGUUGGUGGGGUAGUGGCUCACCAAGGCGAUGACGGGUAGCCGGCCUGAGAGGGCGACCGGCCACACUGGGACUGAGACACGGCCCAGACUCCUACGGGAGGCAGCAGUGGGGAAUAUUGCACAAUGGGCGAAAGCCUGAUGCAGCGACGCCGCGUGAGGGAUGACGGCCUUCGGGUUGUAAACCGCUUUCAGCAGGGAAGAAGCGAAAGUGACGGUACCUGCAGAAGAAGCGCCGGCUAACUACGUG